GAGCGAGGAGGACUCGAAAAUGAUGAGCGAGUGGAGGCAGACAUGGUUGUUGUGAUAUAUUUGAGGAGUUGUUCUCCCUCUGUUUUAUAUGUGGACAUUUGGGACCACUGUUAGAAUUUGGUUGACCACUUGACAUGUGAGAGCCUGAGGAGUUGUUCCCCCUCUGUCCAUGUUCGAGGACUUGCUCUCUGUCUGCCUCCACUCUCUGCCUUCACUGUACCAAAGUUUGUCUGUUGAUUCUCCUCUAGUCUGGUUGACCACUUGACAUGUGAGAGCCUGAGGAGUUGUUUUCCAGACACAGGUAGAGCUGGCAGGGGC